rnacentral:rRNA from 1 species
UACGGAGGGUGCGAGCGUUGUCCGGAAUCACUGGGCGUAAAGGGCGCGUAGGUGGCGCGGAAAGUCAACGGUGAAAGUUCGGGGCUCAACCCUGAAUCGGCCGUCGAUACUGCUGCGCUUGAGCACUGUAGAGGCAGAUGGAAUUCCGGGUGUAGCGGUGGAAUGCGUAGAGAUCCGGAGGAACACCCGUGGCGAAGGCGGCCCCCUGGGCCGCCGCCUGACGCUGAGACGCGAAAGCGCGGGGAGCGAACGGG